UCGAGCGCGCCCUUCGGGGUGAGCGGCGGACGGGUUAGUAACGCGUGGGAACGUGCCCAGAUCUAAGGAAUAGCCACUGGAAACGGUGAGUAAUACCUUAUACGCCCUUCGGGGGAAAGAUUUAUCGGAUUUGGAUCGGCCCGCGUUAGAUUAGGUAGUUGGUGGGGUAAUGGCCUACCAAGCCUACGAUCUAUAGCUGGUUUUAGAGGAUGAUCAGCAACACUGGGACUGAGACACGGCCCAGACUCCUACGGGAGGCAGCAGUGGGGAAUCUUGGACAAUGGGGGCAACCCUGAUCCAGCCAUGCCGCGUGAGUGAUGAAGGCCUUAGGGUCGUAAAGCUCUUUCGCCUGUGAUGAUAAUGACAGUAGCAGGUAAAGAAACCCCGGCUAACUCCGUGCCAGCAGCCGCGGUAAUACGGAGGGGGUUAGCGUUGUUCGGAGUUACUGGGCGUAAAGCGCGCGUAGGCGGAUUAGUCAGUUAGAGGUGAAAUCCCGGGGCUCAACCCCGGAACUGCCUUUAAUACUGCUAGUCUUGAGUUCGAGAGAGGUGAGUGGAAUUCCGAGUGUAGAGGUGAAAUUCGUAGAUAUUCGGAGGAACACCAGUGGCGAAGGCGGCUCACUGGCUCGAUACUGACGCUGAGGUGCGAAAGUGUGGGGAGCAAACAGGAU
rnacentral:rRNA from 1 species